rnacentral:lncRNA from 1 species
GAAGAGGAAUUGGAUCAUGAAGGAAGUAUAUGGCAAGAAUGAGGUAGUCAAGGUUGGUACCAAGUAUUAAACCAAUUGCAAACAAUAAACACCAACCUUAACCAAAGGCUUAACACGUUUGAUUUUUACUUGGCUAAUAUGGAAAGGAGCCAACGCCGACAAGCAUAUAAGCUCGAUUGCUACUUCGAAUCGGUUGACUUUGAU